CUGCAAUGAGACAAUAUAUUAUGUUGCACCUGUUCUGUCUCUCAACUAUGUUGAUGUGUGUGUGUGUGUGUGUGUGUGUAGCGAGAGAGACAGAGAGCGAGAGAGAGAGAUGUACGAAUUAAAAACAAUGUAGAGAAUAUCUGUUUUGGAUUUCUAGAUGAUACCUGGUAACUUAAUUCCUACGGUCAGAGAACUCAGGCUGGAGUAGAAAGUGAUAUGGUUGGCAUAUAUGUUGUUGACAUUUAAUAUCACCCGCCAAUACCAGUUCUCUUUCCCCAACUCAGGUUUUGGGUCACGGCCCCAGCCUCCAUACUUAUGGUUAACAGUAGAUUCUCCCUUGGA